rnacentral:rRNA from 1 species
GACGAACGCUGGCGGCGUGCCUAAUACAUGCAAGUCGAGCGAAGUUUUUCUGGUGCUUGCACUAGAAAAACUUAGCGGCGAACGGGUGAGUAACACGUAAAGAACCUGCCUCAUAGACUGGGACAACUAUUGGAAACGAUAGCUAAUACCGGAUAACAGUAUUUCUCGCAUGAGAGAUAUUUAAAAGUUGGUUAUGCUAACACUAUGAGAUGGCUUUGCGGUGCAUUAGCUAGUUGGUGGGGUAAAGGCCCACCAAGGCGACGAUGCAUAGCCGACCUGAGAGGGUGAUCGGCCACACCGGGACUGAGACACGGCCCAGACUCCUACGGGAGGCAGCAGUAGGGAAUCUUCCGCAAUGGGCGAAAGCCUGACGGAGCAACGCCGCGUGAGUGAAGAAGGAUUUCGGUUCGUAAAGCUCUGUUGUUAGGGAAGAAUGGAUAUGUAGUAACUAUACAUGUAAGAGACGGUACCUAACCAGAAAGCCACGGCUAACUACGUG